rnacentral:rRNA from 1 species
GAUGAACGCUGGCGGCGUGCCUAAUACAUGCCAGUCGAGCGAACGGACGAGAAGCUUGCUUUUCUGAUGUUAGCGGCGGACGGGUGAGUAACACGUGGAUAACCUACCUAUAAGACUGGGAUAACUUCGGGAAACCGGAGCUAAUACCGGAUAAUAUUUUGAACCGCAUGGUUCAUAAGUGAAAGACGGUCUUGCUGUCACUUAUAGAUGGAUCCGCGCUGCAUUAGCUAGUUGGUAAGGUAACGGCUUACCAAGGCAACGAUGCAUAGCCGACCUGAGAGGGUGAUCGGCCACACUGGAACUGAGACACGGUCCAGACUCCUACGGGAGGCAGCAGUAGGGAAUCUUCCGCAAUGGGCGAAAGCCUGACGGAGCAACGCCGCGUGAGCGAUGAAGGUCUUCGGAUCGUAAAACUCUGUUAUUAGAGAAGAACAUAUGUGUAAGUAACUGUGCACAUCUUGACGGUACCUAAUCAGAAAGCCACGGCUAACUACGUG